ensembl:lncRNA
UUAAGCGCUAUUUGGUGACUCUCUGGUGGGUCUUGUGCUUUCUGUACUUCGGGUAAAGUAAACAGCAGAAUGUGCACAGAGGAACUGAAGUCAGACAGAAAGAACUACAGAACAGGAGUUUGCUGGACAACACGAGCAGAGCUACUGAGCCACGUUACCACGUAGGAGUAUUAACAAGGUGCCACUGGAGAGGUGAACAGCCCGGCUCUAAAUACUGCAGGGGUGGAUCAUGGAAUGUGGAUCAGCUGUGUAGGAAUGGAGCAGGAUGAACGGCCACGCCUCCUCACCUGCUUCCUCUAGACACGCCCCUUUUCUCUUCUGGUUGAUGCUUCAGCAAAACCAGAGCUACAAGACAAAGAGUUUGGCGGCAAAUCCGGUUGAUGCGCGUGAAUCAAACAUCGUGGACGUGAACUUCCUCGCUCGCGAGGUUAAUCUCUGCUCGCGCUCGAAGGUGUUGUUAUUGACAGCAAGGGGGCGGAGCCAGUCACCGGCAUCUCCACGUCUGAUUGGUUCCACUUUUCGUCCUUGGAUUGGCUGGAUUUCGUCCCUGUUGACCGUUGUGAAUCCCCAGAACUGAUGGAGCAGGAUGAACGGAUCGGAUUAACGGUACCUGAGGUGUGCAAGUGGUACAUGAAGACAGACAAUGUCCCUCUCUGUCUUCUCCACAAAUGGCUGUGGAAACCCCUCACGUGAGAUCUAUGUCACUUCCGUUUUACUUUCACUAUGAGUCAUUGCUGUAAAUCACCGUUAGCUGAGUAGCACAUUAGCUGCCAUUAGAUAGCUGGUAUCAGCGUUUUCUGUUAACAACCUUUAAAAAACACUGCAGAGUCCAAUCAAAGUUCUGAUGAGAUAAUAAUAAUAAUAAUGCUAUGAUGUCAUAACUGAAUAAACUCAUCAUAGGAAAAUAUUUAAAAGUUAGCUAAAUAUCUACUGAAUUAAACUUUCUUUACAAAUACAUGUAAUAUUAAAAGCAGCAUCAAGGGUUUGCAGUCAAAAUGAUUCAGUUUUGAUUUGACACAAGAUUGAAAGAACUAUCUUCACAUGUUGUUGUUUUUAUAAGCUAAUAUCCCCCACAACACGCUAGAGAGACGUUUUACAGCAGUCAAUGAAUAUCUUUUUCCUAAAGUGGACAUCAUGGUUCUCCACAGCAUGUCCUCCGGCCUCAAACGUUGGAGCGUCUCCUGUCAAAACUGGAGCUCGCACUCAUUCCAAC